UACUUGCAACCACUUUUACAGAACCGUGAGGAGCUUGGGAAUACUUAUUUUGAGAAAGUGAUUCGGGCAGAAACACAAAGGCUCUUAACUGAAUUUGAACAACUAGAUCUAACCUCAACAACAGUCGAUGGAGAAACUCAUUCCAAGGAAGUCUCAACUGUAGAACCAAGGAAAACAAGGGACCAACGGGAGG